GAGGAGCAACUUCGCCAUACUCUCGAUCUUGGUACUCAUCGUACAAGUUGUUUGCAAGCUCCACUCUCUCCGCGACCCUGGAAGUGCUAGAGUUUGGGCCAUCAUACACACAGAACAGAUCCGUGAUGCGUGCACGACUCGGGUACCUAGGAUCAGCCGAUCGCAUGGUGACCAGCCUCUCGCAGGUCCGCCGGUACAACUUCUUUUGGGGCUGUCCUGGCAGCAUGUAGGGACGAUCCACUAAUAGGAACAUCAUAUAGUCGGACAUCAUCCUAAUAAAAUGCACCUCAGGCGCAGCAUCCACUGCCUUGGCUCUCUUGCUU
rnacentral:lncRNA from 1 species